CACUCCAAGAGAUGCGGGAAGCAUCCCCUGUCGGGGGUGCACGCUUCCGUAGCGGUCAGCUCAUUCCCGAAAGAUUUUCUGCGAGGUCUCAUCUGAGUCGAGGAGCACGAUUCGAACUGAGACAUUGGCUCUUGGGUCUCAAGCCUGCUAUCCUUCAGACUGGAACUUAUGCCAUCAGCUCUUCUGAUUCUCAGGCUUUGGGAUUUGGAGUGGAACUAUACCAUCAGCUCUCCUGGAUCUCCAGCUUGCUAACUGCAGAUCUUGAGACUUCUCAUCCUCCAUGACCACGUACUCACAUCCACCUUCUGAAGUACCUGCUGAGUCCAAGUGCAGAAUAUCUAAAGAGUUCCACAGGGCGAACUGACUUGUUCCUCAUCAAAACUCCUCAACCCUGCCACUGCCCCCAGGUACCUAAGCAUAUAUCCCCCCCUAUGCUCUGCUAGGUCAAGUCAGCCUCUACUUCCUGUGCUUUCCAUCUUCCAAAAAUGUGUUGAUACUGCUUA